AGUAAACGGCGGCCGUAACUAUAACGGUCCUAAGGUAGCGAAAUUCCUUGUCGGGUAAGUUCCGACCCGCACGAAAGGCGUAACGAUUUGGGCACUGUCUCAACGAGAGACUCGGUGAAAUCAUAGUACCUGUGAAGAUGCAGGUUACCCGCGACAGGACGGAAAGACCCCGUGGAGCUUUACUGUAGCCUGAUAUUGAAAUUCGGCACAGCUUGUACAGGAUAGGUAGGAGCCUUUGAAACGUGAGCGCUAGCUUACGUGGAGGCGCUGGUGGGAUACUACCCUAGCUGUGUUGGCUUUCUAACCCGCACCACUUAUCGUGGUGGGAGACAGUGUCAGGCGGGCAGUUUGACUGGGGCGGUCGCCUCCUAAAAGGUAACGGAGGCGCUCAAAGGUUCCCUCAGAAUGGUUGGAAAUCAUUCAUAGAGUGUAAAGGCAUAAGGGAGCUUGACUGCGAGACCUACAAGUCGAG
rnacentral:rRNA from 1 species